AAAGACUGGGAGAAGGGCAUUUCCCUCUGCUCCCACUGUGCUGAGAACUGUUUCUCUGUCUGCUGUGUAGUCUCAUGGGUCCUGUGGAUGCAAGCCCCACUGGUUUUCUGAGCUAGGUGUUUGGAGGACCCAUCCCUCAGAUGGAAGUCUUAAAAGUUAGGGCACUAGAUGUUCGGUCCAACCCUUCACUCCUCAGGGAGAAGCCGGGAGUUGUGAGCUCCCCGCUGAUUGCGUGGCACUAUGCCAGUGCUGAUUAGGACGAGGAGGGAAUUGCUCCAUGUGUAGCUGCGGAUUCAGUGUGUCCGUGGGAGGAGACUUGAUCAUUGUCCUUGUCUUCAUUUACGUCAGAUGGUGCUCCCUGUGGAGAGAGGCAGCUGGUUAUUCUGAGCUAACUCAGAUAAUCCUUAUUAAUAUAACCGCCUCCCUUGUGAAAAUCCAUCCAUCACCUUCACCUUGAUGGGCCACUGUCAGCAUGGUGCCUGGUGCCCCCGCCAGCACUUCACCCCCCGGAACACUGUGCCAUCAGCACUGGGACACUGUUUGCAAGGUGCAAACUGCAUGGGAAGCUUUUGAGCCAUUUACUUUACUUCUUCAAAAGUUUGAUUCAACUGAGGAAACGUUAACUCAAGAAAUAUAGGUUCUGGGGAAAUGAGCUUGGGAUCUUAGGAUGGCUCUUCCUAACAGGUUUCCUUGGAGACAACAGGCCAUGUUCUGGAGUAGUUUCUGGUCUCUAGGCCAAUACAAUGUCAGAUCAAUGUUUUUGUGAGGCAAUACCAUAGCAUGUGACCCGGGGGCAAUAGAGCUUUGCAAUUGGAUAAACUCCAGGUUCAGCAUGAACACCUAUGUAGGAAGGCAGCAGUUAACGCUUCCUAUUCAAUACAGAAAAUCCCCUGAAAUGAAAGAUGAGGAGCCAGUUGUGGGAGAAGGAGGCCACAGCAGCUGCAGAAACCUUCCCAGUCCCUCCCAUCACCCCCCUCCUUGUCAGGUUACUCUCUAAGCUCUUCCUGGCACGUGUAUGAGCCACUCUCUCUUGACUUUAGAGAUGACCUAUCUUGGCCUCUAAAUUUAAACUCACCGUGGGAUUGAAAAGUGAAUGGGGCCAAAGAGCCCUUUGGUGUGAUUUGUAUAAGGAUUAUUCCCCAGAACGAUACUGGAUUCUACUAAUGUGAGGCUUAAAGUAGAUGUGGCAGGAUGGUGGGCCUCUCAUGGGCAGCAAGGAGCUAGCAAACCAUGCA
rnacentral:lncRNA from 1 species